CCUGUAGUUGUGGAAUGUAAUUUAUUUUCACCAAUACAAAAAACAUUUCCUGAUUAAGUGCUUGUAAAAUGUUAAUUAAGCAGAAUUUUGUUUAUUGCUUUUUUUUUGUAAAACAGACAUUGAAGUUGGAUUUUUGUUGGAUGGUGAGCGAAUCCCAAAUCUCAAUUUAGUCAUCAGGGUGGAGCUGAAAUGAGGAGAGGCACUUUGCCACAGGCUCAGAGAGAAAAUUUCAAGUACAGGACAGAAGGGAUAUUGCUUCAAUCUCUUUUGGAUAAUGGAUUACACCAAUGUGCUAUCUGCCCUAAACAGAUGACUGCAAAAGAUCCCGUGACACUUUACAAAGAAGAUCAAGAAUGUAACGAAAGAAAUAUACAGCUCCAAAUUGCUGCAUUUGUAAAAUUAAAAUUGGAGAACUUUUGCCAACUGACAAGUCACUUCUGUUAGUGGACAUCACAAUCGCAGAUGGUAGUGUGAGAUCAAGCUGGUAAUAUAGUGUGCUGGAGAGUUUUGGGGACCAUAGCAGCUAUAACACAUGGUGCCUUUAAAAAUUGCUCGCUAGGCUAUGCAGCAUCCAGUGCAACUAGAGAUUGGCAUAUAUGGCACAACAGUAAUAAUGCAGUCAAUUUAGAAGCAGAAUUUAGCACAUUCUUCUUCAAAUGCUGAUGCCUGAUCACUAAUGUCACUUCAUUUCCCUCAAUCUAUUCAAUCCAGGGCUAAUUUCAUGUUAGGAGUAGGAAGUAGUAGUCACAGAGAAGCCAAGUCUGGAAAGCAUAGGAAUCCACAGUCCAAUAUUCCCUUCAUGAGUUUAAGUUUAAAUAUGUUGAAAAUCAAGCUUUGCAAUCCCUCAAUUUCCCAUCCAGAACUCACUGCACUAAUCCUUACUGGGAGCAUUCAAUAAUGGAAUAGUCUCACAUUUCAUGAUGUGAAAUCUUAUUCAAGCAAAUUGUAUGGUGCCUAAGCAAACUAAUUUUUAUAAACUUGGAAAAAUCAGAACUCCAGGAACAUGGAACUGCAGCAUAUUGUUGAAAACUUGACUAAAUGAGAGCGUUACACACAAAGGAGGGAUUUGUUUAAAUUGAGGUUAUUGGCAGCACUUUUUCACUUCAAUUAUAGUUUGUUGAAUAUUCUCUGAUCAGAGUAAUACGGGAAGGCUGAUUGGCUUUCUGAGAUGUAGUUUAGUCACAUUCUAUAAACACAAACAAAGUGUGAAGCCAUGAGAGUUACCUAAUGCAGACAAAUACGCUAUGAGGGUGUGAAGAAGUGGCUUUAUGCAGACAUUGUAAUCUCCAUUUUGGCAGAUUCAUUUAAAUGUUUUGAUAUGUUUUGCUGCCUCACAGGUAUAAGGGAUUGAUUUUUUGAAUAAGUUAAAAAGUACUUUUCUUUAAAAAGAGUACCUUUGUCUAAUUUUUACACAUAACUCUUGUUUUCUUUACAAGUUAAUGUCAGAGUUAAAGAAGGAUACUUUAUUUUGGAUGUUGAAAUAAAGUAGUAUCUGAUAUAUAAUUGUGCAAGGACUUGGAGCAGUCUAAAAGUGAAACAGUAACUUUAGACAAGUUUACAUGUAGUUUCCCAUCUCCCUGUGAAAACACAGGACACACUUUGGACAAUUCUGUUUUCUGCCUGUUGUUUUCCCACCAGUAUCCAAUCUACAGAGCAAGCCUGCUCUGAGAGUGUAGAAUCACAUAAAUCGAUCCCUCUGGCAUUAUAGUUCAUCUCGGAUAACCCAGGCACAUUGCAGCUGUUGAACAGCCUUGGGAAGUUCUAUUUCUAUGUAUUUGAUUUAUCAUGGAACAAUAUGGCAGCUUGCUGUGUAAAUAGUCCAUGACCUAUGAUGGAAGUUGAACUUGUCCCUUUAGUUCAGACAGACCAUCAGACAAAUCAAUGGAACAUGAUCAAAAGAGGAAAAAGAAAGAAUAAACUUGCAUUCAUUUUUCAGCUGGAUGUCUUUUGGAAAUACUCCAAAGAAAUUCAUUGGGAAUUUAUUGUAUAGGAGUGAAGGCAAUUGUUAAGCUAUAUCCUUUCAUUUCCAAAGGGGAUAAUGGAAUUUAAUGUAGUCAACAAUUUAACCAAAUCUCAAUUUGCAUAGUCUUGAUGCAUUACAUCAGAUGAUGGUACUAUGCAUUGUACAGACAUGCUCUGUCGUUGUAAUGUAUUCUGUAUUGGUAGUAACCUAAGUCCUCAGAACCUUCCUAUCUCCAGCUUUCAUGUACUCUGGGGUGAGUGCAAUAAAUAUUUAAACACUGAAUAUUUAAGCAAUGUAGAUGGCUGAUCUUUAC